rnacentral:rRNA from 1 species
AUGCCGGGCGCCGCGCUAGUACAUGCAGUAGAACGCGUGAAGAGAGGAGCUUGCUCUUCUUGGAUGAGUUGCGAACGGGUGAGUAACGCGUAGGUAACCUGCCUUGUAGCGGGGGAUAACUAUUGGAAACGAUAGCUAAUACCGCAUAACAAUGGAUGACACAUGUCAUUUAUUUGAAAGGGGCAAUUGCUCCACUACAAGAUGGACCUGCGUUGUAUUAGCUAGUAGGUGAGGUAAUGGCUCACCUAGGCGACGAUACAUAGCCGACCUGAGAGGGUGAUCGGCCACACUGGGACUGAGACACGGCCCAGACUCCUACGGGAGGCAGCAGUAGGGAAUCUUCGGCAAUGGGGGCAACCCUGACCGAGCAACGCCGCGUGAGUGAAGAAGGUUUUCGGAUCGUAAAGCUCUGUUGUAAGUCAAGAACGGGUGUGAGAGUGGAAAGUUCACACUGUGACGGUAGCUUACCAGAAAGGGACGGCUAACUACGUGCCAGCAGCCGCGGUAAUACGUAGGUCCCGAGCGUUGUCCGGAUUUAUUGGGCGUAAAGCGAGCGCAGGCGGUUUGAUAAGUCUGAAGUUAAAGGCUGUGGCUCAACCAUAGUUCGCUUUGGAAACUGUCAAACUUGAGUGCAGAAGGGGAGAGUGGAAUUCCAUGUGUAGCGGUGAAAUGCGUAGAUAUAUGGAGGAACACCGGUGGCGAAAGCGGCUCUCUGGUCUGUAACUGACGCUGAGGCUCGAAAGCGUGGGGAGCGAACAGGAUUAGAUACCCCUGGUAGUCCACGCCGUAAACGAUGAGUGCUAGGUGUUGGAUCCUUUCCGGGAUUCAGUGCCGCAGCUAACGCAUUAAGCACUCCGCCUGGGGAGUACGACCGCAAGGUUGAAACUCAAAGGAAUUGACGGGGGCCCGCACAAGCGGUGGAGCAUGUGGUUUAAUUCGAAGCAACGCGAAGAACCUUACCAGGUCUUGACAUCCCGAUGCUAUUUCUAGAGAUAGAAAGUUACUUCGGUACAUCGGUGACAGGUGGUGCAUGGUUGUCGUCAGCUCGUGUCGUGAGAUGUUGGGUUAAGUCCCGCAACGAGCGCAACCCCUAUUGUUAGUUGCCAUCAUUCAGUUGGGCACUCUAGCGAGACUGCCGGUAAUAAACCGGAGGAAGGUGGGGAUGACGUCAAAUCAUCAUGCCCCUUAUGACCUGGGCUACACACGUGCUACAAUGGUUGGUACAACGAGUUGCGAGUCGGUGACGGCGAGCUAAUCUCUUAAAGCCAAUCUCAGUUCGGAUUGUAGGCUGCAACUCGCCUACAUGAAGUCGGAAUCGCUAGUAAUCGCGGAUCAGCACGCCGCGGUGAAUACGUUCCCGGGCCUUGUACACACCGCCCGUCACACCACGAGAGUUUGUAACACCCGAAGUCGGUGAGGUAACCUUUGGAGCCAGCCGCCUAAGGUGACAGAG